rnacentral:rRNA from 1 species
GUUAAACUGGAGGAGGGAGGGGGCUACGGCAGGUCAGCAUGCCCCGAAUCUCCCGGGCCGCACGCGGGCUGCAAUGGCGAGGACAGCGGGUUCCGACCUCGAAAGGGGUAGGUAAUCCCUUAAACCUCGCCGUAGUUGGGAUUGAGGGCUGUAACCCGCCCUCAUGAACAUGGAAUCCCUAGUAACCGCAUGUCACCAUCGUGCGGUGAAUACGUCCCUGCUCCUU